rnacentral:rRNA from 1 species
CUAUGCGCCUUGCCAGCCCGCUCAGGUGCCAGCCGCCGCGGUAAUACGGAGGAUGCGAGCGUUAUCCGGAUUUAUGGUUAAAGGGUGCGUAGCGGGAUGCCAAGUCAGCGGUAAAAAUGCGGUGCUCAACGCCGUCGAGCCGUUGAAACUGGCGUUCUUGAGUGGGUGAGAAGUAUGCGGAAUGCGUGGUGUAGCGGUGAAAUGCAUAGAUAUCACGCAGAACUCCGAUUGCGAAGGCAGCAUACCGGCGCCCUACUGACGCUGAGGCACGAAAGCGUGGGUAUCGAACAGG